rnacentral:rRNA from 1 species
UACGAAGGGGGCUAGCGUUGCUCGGAAUUACUGGGCGUAAAGCGCACGUAGGCGGUCUUUUAAGUCAGGGGUGAAAUCCUGGAGCUCAACUCCAGAACUGCCUUUGAUACUGAAGAUCUUGAGUUCGGGAGGGGUGAGUGGAACUGCGAGUGUAGAGGUGAAAUUCGUAGAUAUUCGCAAGAACACCAGUGGCGAAGGCGGCUCACUGGCCCGAUACUGACGCUGAUGCACGAAAGCGUGGGGAGCAAACAGG